GGAAGGAUCAUUCCAAACUAAAACCGCAAACAUACCUUUGAAAAAAGUGAUGUUUUGCACCUCAAUCUACACGCUCAUAUUUUUUCUACUCUACAUUUUCCCUUUUUCAGAUGUACAUCUGAAGACCUUUAUUUGACCCAAAAGCCUAAAAUUUUAGGAUCAUGACGGUGGAUACAUUGGUUUCUGGAACGAUGAAGAACGUAGCGAAACGCGAUAUUUAAUGCGAAUUGCAGAAUUCAGUGAAUCAUCAAGUUUUCGAACGCAGCUUGCAAUCAUUGGUUAUUCCUUUGAUUGUGCUUUCUUGACAUGCACGCUCAAUCAAAACUGUAGAUUUCUUGUCUUCUGGAUGAGAAGUCACACAGUGUCUGAAUCUUGAUGAACUAGGUGUGAGGCCUAGUCUUCAAAAGACAGCGAGCUCGUUGCUUCAUUGAUUUGGGAUGCUGGAAUAUGCUCUCAGUUGCAGAUUGUUCACACUCUUUGCAAAAGUGAGUUGAUUUCGUAUCCUUCGAGUCGGUGGUGUCGCUAGAGCUAAAGUGCACAUUGUGUGCUCAAAUGACAAACAAUUGUUGUGUCAAGCAAAGCACGGAGACCCCCUGAAUUUAAGCAUAUAACUAAGGGGAGGAAAGCAAACUAAAAAGGAUUCUCAUAGUAACUGCGAGUGAACUGAGAAAAGCUCAAGUCUGUAAUCCUCUUGGUUCAUCCAAGAAGACAUGUGGCUUGUGGAGACAUGUCCAGAGUGUGGCCCAGGUCUAAGUUCACUGAAAAGUGAUGCGAAGCAGGGUGAUAGCCCCGUUCACGGCUUGGAGUUCGCCUCGUACGGACUGUUUUCUGAGAGUCGGAUUGCUUGGGAGUGCAAUCUUAAUGGGAGGUAAAUUCCUUCCAAGGCUAAAUAUUUCCAGAAAACCGAUAGCACACAAGUACCGCGAGGGAAAUGUGAAAAGCACUUUGAAAAGAGAGUUAAAAGUAUUUGAAACCGCCAUGGUUAAGCAAUGGGAUUUGUUGGUUCACGUGGUAUGUUAUGCUGGCACGAAUGUGCAUAAGGAUUGCAUCGAAUUGUGGUCUUCGGGUCUGUCAUGCGGUCCUUGGUGGCAGACGUGUCGUGUGUAACAUGCCAUGAGUACUCGGGAGUACUGGAUUGUCUUUAUAAGUGCUUGGUGAGGGUAGGUGUGUGAUUGCUUCGGCAUGAUCCCUGAAUGCACCUUGAUUUCUACAAGAAUGUCUGGUACUUUUGUGUAUAAACGAAUCCCAUUGACCCGUCUUGAAACACGGACCAAGGAGUGUAACGCUUGUGCGAGUGUUCGGGCAUUGAAAUCCCGAAUGCGAAAUGAAAGUGUAGGUGAGGAUUCAUCUUUACUGUGAUGUUCAUCCGUGCAUGUUGCGGAGUCAGCAUCGCCCGGCUUCUUCCUUUGUGAGAGGUUCGAGCUAGAGCACAGUCGAUACGACCCGAAAGAUGGUGAGCUAUACCUGCGCAGGGUGAAGCCAGGGGAAACUCUGGUGGAAGCUCGUAGCGGUACUGACGUGCAAAUCGUUCGUCUGACGUGGGUAUAGGGGCGAAAGACCUAUCGAACCAUCUAGUAGCUGGUUCCCUC
rnacentral:misc_RNA from 1 species